GGCAAAUUGCAAGAUGUUACCGAGCUUGAUCUUUCCGAGAAUAGGAUCAUGGCACUCCCAUCAACAAUUGGCAGCCUUAGAUAUUUGACAAAGCUUGACCUACACUCAAAUCAGCUGAUCAAUCUGCCCGACGCGUUUGGGGAACUCUCCAACCUAAUUGAUCUUGACCUGCAUGCCAACCAGCUUAAGUCUCUUCCUUCAUCAUUUGGAAAUCUCACGAGCCUAGCAAACCUUGACCUGAGCUCAAAUAUGUUGAAGGCUCUUCCAGAUUGUUUAGGAAAAUUGGCAAACUUGAGAAGAUUAAUUGUUGAGACAAAUGAGCUUGAGGAGCUACCCU
rnacentral:lncRNA from 1 species